GGCGCCCGUUCGGGGGACUGGCCUUUGCUCUAGAAACUGUUAAAGGCUGAGCUAGGUAGGCGGGGCCAGAUGUGCGAAACCCACAGGCUUGAAGGGAAAAACAGUCGGCGCUCUCACUGACAAACUGCUCUUUUUCUUGCCUCCCGCACGAAGGUGCAGAACCCCGCGAGGUGCAGAAACAUCGUCUUAUGGGCCAAUGCAUCUUCAGGAACUCCUCGCGGAGGAGGUUUUUCCACUUGCCGUUCCCUCUGCCUGCAAUGAUAUUCCACAAGAUGUUCCAACAGCUGGCCCCGAUCAGCUUCAGGAAUUUCUGUAAAGGUCACCUUUUUGGCUCACUGACUGCAGCUGUAACUUGAACUUGCCAAUAUACACCAUUGCUCACAAGAGGACCUGAUGAGAGAGUGUGGAUGAAUUUACUGCCAACCCCUUCCUACUCCAAAAACAAAACAAUUUUGUAGAUUUGUUAUUGAUGGAUCGUAGCACCAAUUUUCAUAUACAAAUGACAACAUUUCAUGUGGCACUAUUUUCAGUGUAAAUGAUAACACAGAUCAUGAGGAGACAGUACAAAUUAUCUUGGGC
rnacentral:lncRNA from 1 species